UACGGAGGGGGCUAGCGUUGUUCGGAAUUACUGGGCGUAAAGCGCACGUAGGCGGCUUUGUAAGUUAGAGGUGAAAGCCCGGGGCUCAACUCCGGAAUUGCCUCUAAGACUGCAUCGCUAGAAUUGUGGAGAGGUAAGUGGAAUUCCGAGUGUAGAGGUGAAAUUCGUAGAUAUUCGGAAGAACACCAGUGGCGAAGGCGACUUACUGGACACAUAUUGACGCUGAGGUGCGAAAGCGUGGGGAGCAUACAGG
rnacentral:rRNA from 1 species